UUAAGCGACUAAGCGUACACGGUGGAUGCCCUGGCAGUCAGAGGCGAUGAAGGACGUGCUAAUCUGCGAUAAGCGUCGGUAAGGUGAUAUGAACCGUUAUAACCGGCGAUUUCCGAAUGGGGAAACCCAGUGUGAUUCGUCACACUAUCGUUAAGUGAAUACAUAGCUUAACGAAGCGAACCGGGGGAACUGAAACAUCUAAGUACCCCGAGGAAAAGAAAUCAACCGAGAUUCCCCCAGUAGCGGCGAGCGAACGGGGAGGAGCCCAGAGUCUGAAUCAGCGCGUGUGUUAGUGGAACGGUCUGGAAAGUCCGGCGGUACAGGGUGAUAGCCCCGUACACUAAAAUGCACACGUUGUGAACUCGAAGAGUAGGGCGGGACACGUGGUAUCCUGUCUGAAUAUGGGGGGACCAUCCUCCAAGGCUAAAUACUCCUGACUGACCGAUAGUGAACCAGUACCGUGAGGGAAAGGCGAAAAGAACCCCGGCGAGGGGAGUGAAAAAGAACCUGAAACCGUGUACGUACAAGCAGUGGGAGCCUACUUGUUAGGUGACUGCGUACCUUUUGUAUAAUGGGUCAGCGACUUAUAUUCUGUAGCAAGGUUAACCGUAUAGGGGAGCCGCAGGGAAACCGAGUCUUAACUGGGCGUUAAGUUGCAGGGUAUAGACCCGAAACCCGGUGAUCUAGCCAUGGGCAGGUUGAAGGUUGGGUAACACUAACUGGAGGACCGAACCGACUAAUGUUGAAAAAUUAGCGGAUGACUUGUGGCUGGGGGUGAAAGGCCAAUCAAACCGGGAGAUAGCUGGUUCUCCCCGAAAGCUAUUUAGGUAGCGCCUCGUGAACUCAUCUUCGGGGGUAGAGCACUGUUUCGGCUAGGGGGUCAUCCCGACUUACCAACCCGAUGCAAACUACGAAUACCGAAGAAUGUUAUCACGGGAGACACACGGCGGGUGCUAACGUCCGUCGUGAAGAGGGAAACAACCCAGACCGCCAGCUAAGGUCCCAAAGUCAUGGUUAAGUGGGAAACGAUGUGGGAAGGCACAGACAGCCAGGAUGUUGGCUUAGAAGCAGCCAUCAUUUAAAGAAAGCGUAAUAGCUCACUGGUCGAGUCGGCCUGCGCGGAAGAUGUAACGGGGCUAAACCAUGCACCGAAGCUGCGGCAGCGACACUAUGUGUUGUUGGGUAGGGGAGCGUUCUGUAAGCCGUUGAAGGUGGCCUGUGAGGGUUGCUGGAGGUAUCAGAAGUGCGAAUGCUGACAUAAGUAACGAUAAAGCGGGUGAAAAGCCCGCUCGCCGGAAGACCAAGGGUUCCUGUCCAACGUUAAUCGGGGCAGGGUGAGUCGACCCCUAAGGCGAGGCCGAAAGGCGUAGUCGAUGGGAAACAGGUUAAUAUUCCUGUACUCGGUGUUACUGCGAAGGGGGGACGGAGAAGGCUAUGUUAGCCGGGCGACGGUUGUCCCGGUUUAAGCAUGUAGGCGGAACGAUUAGGUAAAUCCGGUCGUUUAUUCAACGCUGAGGUGUGAUGACGAGGCACUACGGUGCUGAAGUAACAAAUGCCCUGCUUCCAGGAAAAGCCUCUAAGCAUCAGGUAACAACGAAUCGUACCCCAAACCGACACAGGUGGUCAGGUAGAGAAUACCAAGGCGCUUGAGAGAACUCGGGUGAAGGAACUAGGCAAAAUGGUGCCGUAACUUCGGGAGAAGGCACGCUGAUGGUAGGUGAAGCGACUUGCUCGUGGAGCUGAAAUCAGUCGAAGAUACCAGCUGGCUGCAACUGUUUAUUAAAAACACAGCACUGUGCAAACACGAAAGUGGACGUAUACGGUGUGACGCCUGCCCGGUGCCGGAAGGUUAAUUGAUGGGGUUAUCCGUAAGGAGAAGCUCUUGAUCGAAGCCCCGGUAAACGGCGGCCGUAACUAUAACGGUCCUAAGGUAGCGAAAUUCCUUGUCGGGUAAGUUCCG
rnacentral:rRNA from 1 species